GAAAGGUGUAUGGUGAUCAAUACACCUCUACGUCCAGAUCCACUACCUCCAGUGUCAAUUCAUCACCUUCCAUAGAUGUGGAGGCUAUGAAAGCCGAACUUCGGGAGGAGCUCAGAGCGGAGAUGACUCAGAAUUUCAACGCCAUUUUGGCGCAGAUGGGCUUACCGACUUUUGGUGCUUUCACGCAGGGCAAUGUUCCUAUGCAGCCUGUUCCUACGCAGCCUGUUCCUACGCAGCCUCGUCCACAACCGGAGUUAACGGAAGAGACACCAUGUGAGCUAUGUAAUCAAGGAGAUGGUCAUGGUAGAUUCAUUAUCGUGGCUUAUGGAUCUGUACAGCCCCUAGGGACCGGCCACUAUUGCACAACCAGCCAGUAGCUGAUAUUCACUAUGUGGUCAGCGUUGAAGACAUUGUGACCGGUUUCGAAGCAUUUCCUCUUCCGCUGCCGAAUGCAGCAGUUGGUCUACAGUUAUUGUCUGAUUCCAUUGGCAGUUAUAUUCUAUGGCCGCGUGCAUUGGUGCGGUUAGCAUAUCAGGGUUCGGGGAAGGCCGACAGGAAGG